AACGAACGCUGGCGGCAGGCCUAACACAUGCAAGUCGAGCGAGGUAGCAAUACCUAGCGGCGGACGGGUGAGUAACGCGUGGGAACGUGCCCCUUGGUACGGAAUAGCCCCGGGAAACUGGGAGUAAUACCGGCUGAGCUCUACGGAGGAAAGAUUUAUCGCCAAGGGAUCGGCCCGCGUUGGAUUAGGUAGUUGGUGGGGUAAUGGCCUACCAAGCCGACGAUCCAUAGCUGGUUUGAGAGGAUGAUCAGCCACACUGGGACUGAGACACGGCCCAGACUCCUACGGGAGGCAGCAGUGGGGAAUCUUAGACAAUGGGCGCAAGCCUGAUCUAGCCAUGCCGCGUGAGCGAUGAAGGCCUUAGGGUUGUAAAGCUCUUUCAGCUGGGAAGAUAAUGACUGUACCAGCAGAAGAAGCCCCGGCUAACUCCGUGCCAGCAGCCGCCGUAACAC
rnacentral:rRNA from 1 species